rnacentral:rRNA from 1 species
UACGUAGGUGGCAAGCGUUGUCCGGAUUUACUGGGCGUAAAGAGCGCGCAGGCGGCUGGUCAAGUCCGAUGUGAAAUCUCCCGGCUUAACUGGGAAACUGCAUCGGAAACUGAUCGGCUUGAAGGUGGGAGAGGGUAGUGGAAUUCCCGGUGUAGUGGUGAAAUGCGUAGAUAUCGGGAGGAACACCAGUGGCGAAGGCGACUACCUGGCCCACUCUUGACGCUGAGGCGCGAAAGCUAGGGGAGCGAACGGG